GGUGGAAAAUGAACCAAAUGGGAUUCCUUAAGUAAUUGCGAAUGAACAGGGAAAUGCUCAGCUUGAAAAAUGGGGCCUUUGGCUUUGAAUUGUAAUUUUGAAAUGUAUUGCCAAUGGAGGCGCAGGUGCAAGCCUAUUGAAAGAAAGCGUCAAUGAGGGUGAGAUUCCUUUUUGUCAUUUGCAGUCCUCCGUGCACGGUAUAUAUUUGACGAGUCACACUCCUCGGCAUUGGAAUGCAAAGUGGGUGGUAAAUUCCAUGUAAAGGUAAAUAUAUUAUUGAGACUGAUAGCAAACAAGUACCAUGAGGGAAAUAUGAAAAGGACUUUGAAAAGAGAAUUAAAAGAGUCUGCAUUUGCUGAACAGAAAGCAAACAGAAUUGAUUUUACUUGGUGAGAUUGUUGUGCUUACUCUAUCAUUUAUAUGGUUGAUGUGGGUGCGAUGGUUCUUACCUUGAAUGUCAGCUUCUAUUUCUGCAAAUCAUUACCCUUGCACAUGAAUGGUAAUUUGCCUGCGGGUAUUGGAAUGCAUGUGUUUGCAAUGAUUUGUGAUUUGACGCAUGUGUUUGGUGAAAUUUGUAUAUGCUCUUUUGUCGAAGGGGAAAGCUUACUUUUUUGAGCAUUGCAAGCCCUUACACAUA
rnacentral:rRNA from 1 species